rnacentral:misc_RNA from 1 species
CUACACAAUUAAGCAAGCCCAUGACUGCCUACCGGAGGAGUGUUGCUCCAAGAAGAAAAUUUCAGUCAAGAAUGGUCAGAGAUAUGGUUGCUCCAAAAAGACAAAUUAGCUCAAAAUGCUUGGAGGCAUAACUACUCCAAGAAGAAAAUUUUGUUUUGAAGAAACUUUACUGGUAAGAUAGUGCAACAGAAAAAGAAGAACAAGGGUGAG